UGAAUCGCUGAAGUGGCUGCGCUGC
rnacentral:piRNA from 1 species